AUACUUACCUGGACGGGGUCGAUGGCCGAUCAAGAAGGGCCGUGGCCUAGAUCAAUUCUUAAAAUUAAAAUUUCAUGAAUUUUGUUCCUUGCCGCCCCUUUGUAUGUUUACCUUUUCCUCCUUUUUUCUGAGUGUGCAUUUUGCUUUCUAGUCUCUGCCAA